GACGAACGCUGGCGGCGUGCUUAACACAUGCAAGUCGAACGGGAAGGCCCUGCUUUUGUGGGGUGCUCGAGUGGCGAACGGGUGAGUAACACGUGAGUAACCUGCCCUUGACUUUGGGAUAACUUCAGGAAACUGGGGCUAAUACCGGAUAGGAGCUCCUGCUGCAUGGUGGGGGUUGGAAAGUUUCGGCGGUUGGGGAUGGACUCGCGGCUUAUCAGCUUGUUGGUGGGGUAGUGGCUUACCAAGGCUUUGACGGGUAGCCGGCCUGAGAGGGUGACCGGCCACAAUGGGACUGAGAUACGGCCCAGACUCCUACGGGAGGCAGCAGUGGGGAAUAUUGCACAAUGGGCGGAAGCCUGAUGCAGCAACGCCGCGUGCGGGAUGACGGCCUUCGGGUUGUAAACCGCUUUCGCCUGUGACGAAGCGUGAGUGACGGUAAUGGGUAAAGAAGCACCGGCUAACUACGUG
rnacentral:rRNA from 1 species